UACGGAGGGUGCGAGCGUUGUUCGGAAUUACUGGGCGUAAAGCGCACGUAGGUGGCGACGUAAGUCGGGUGUGAAAGCCCCGGGCUCAACCUGGGAAUUGCAUUCGAGACUGCAUUGCUGGAGUACGGAAGAGGAAGGCGGAAUUCCCGGUGUAGCGGUGAAAUGCGUAGAUAUCGGGAGGAACAUCAGUGGCGAAGGCGGCCUUCUGGUCCAGUACUGACACUCAAGUGCGAAAGCGUGGGGAGCAAACAGG
rnacentral:rRNA from 1 species